rnacentral:rRNA from 1 species
UGGAUCCAGACUUUGAUCCUGGCUCAGGAUGAACGCUAGCUACAGGCUUAACACAUGCAAGUCGAGGGGAAACGAUAUUGGUAGCUUGCUUCCGAUAGGCGUCGACCGGCGCACGGGUGAGUAACGCGUAUCCAACCUGCCCACCACUUGGGGAUAACCUUGCGAAAGUAAGGCUAAUACCCAAUGACGUCUCUAGAAGACAUCUGAAAGAGAUUAAAGAUUUAUCGGUGAUGGAUGGGGAUGCGUCUGAUUAGCUUGUUGGCGGGGUAACGGCCCACCAAGGCGACGAUCAGUAGGGGUUCUGAGAGGAAGGUCCCCCACAUUGGAACUGAGACACGGUCCAAACUCCUACGGGAGGCAGCAGUGAGGAAUAUUGGUCAAUGGACGAGAGUCUGAACCAGCCAAGUAGCGUGCAGGAAGACGGCCCUAUGGGUUGUAAACUGCUUUUAUAAGGGAAUAAAGUUAGUCUCGUGAGACUUUUUGCAUGUACCUUAUGAAUAAGGACCGGCUAAUUCCGUGCCAGCAGCCGCGGUAAUACGGAAGGUCCGGGCGUUAUCCGGAUUUAUUGGGUUUAGAGGGAGCGUAGGCCGGAGAUUAAGCGUGUUGUGAAAUGUAGAUGCUCAACAUCUGAACUGCAGCGCGAACUGGUUUCCUUGAGUACGCACAAAGUGGGCGGAAUUCGUGGUGUAGCGGUGAAAUACUUAGAUAUCACGAAGAACUCCGAUUGCGAAGGCAGCUCACUGGAGCGCAACUGACGCUGAAGCUCGAAAGUGCGGGUAUCGAACAGGAUUAGAUACCCUGGUAGUCCGCACGGUAAACGAUGGAUGCCCGCUGUUGGUCUGAAUAGGUCAGCGGCCAAGCGAAAGCAUUAAGCAUCCCACCUGGGGAGUACGCCGGCAACGGUGCAACUCAAAGGAAUUGACGGA